UAUAGUCAGUGAGAGAUCCAGUAUUGUUUUGUCACUACCACCGAAUUGUAAAUAUGUGGAAUAAACCACUGUUGCCUUCCUUCUGAGACUAAA
rnacentral:snoRNA from 1 species